ACCAAGAGGGCUGCACUCACCUGAACAUGCAUACAUUAUAGGGUGCUGCUGGGGCCAAAAUAUACAAGUGCGCUGGAUUCUGAAUUUUGUAUAUUUUGGCCCCAGCAGCACCCUAUAAUGUAUGCAUGUUCAGGUGAGUGCAGCCCUCUUGGU